CCCUUAGAUGUUCUGGGCCGCACGCGUGCUACACUGAGUGGAUCAGCGGGUCAGGUUACGCGAGAGCGUUUCCUAAUCUUCAAAUCCGCUCGUGAUGGGGAUUGACGGUUGCAAUUUUCCGUCAUGAACGAGGAAUACCUUGUAAGCGCGGGUCAUCAUCCCGCGCUGAAUACGUCCCUGCCCUUUGUACACACCGCCCGUCGCUCCUACCGAUUGAGUGGUCCGGUGAGGCUUUGGGAUCUAAGCGAAAAGAGCGUUUCGCUCCUGUUGCUGGGAGAACUCAGUCGAACCUUAUCAUUUAGAGGAAGGAGAAGUCGUAACA
rnacentral:rRNA from 1 species